UUGAAGCCCAAACAAAACAAAAAGGCCUAGCACUAUUCUUCUCCAAAAAUCAGAAAAUUAAAACACAAAGUAAAAGAAAAGCAAUAACUCCAUCUUCUUCCUCAUCCAUACGUGGAAGGACAAGAAUGGAGAUUGCUCAACAAAGUCAAAAACUAUCUCAGUAAACUUAAUUGAGAUUUCACUCUCUCAACCACCCUUAAUCCAGCGGUUUUUCUCAAAACCCCUGAAUUUAGCCACUUGAUUUCUUGAAUUCCAUGGACUCAAAUGGUCUUGGUAAUUUAAAAUUCUGAAAAUCAUCUACUGAGAUGAGGAUUUCUCUAUAAAUAGGGAAGAAUGGUUGAGUUUUCAAUCACAAAAUCAACAACAAUAAUUCAGAAAUUUACAUCAACUAAAAGAAUUUGGAAUCAAAAUUUCAAUUUCUUCACUUCUCUGUUUUCCCUCUGUUCGACCACCGCGCACCACCACCUGAAUUCCUCCCUGUCGCCCGCCGCCACCGUCAUACUGCCCCACCCACCUGCCGACCUCUCCUCCACCGCGGAACGCCGUCGCCCAGCCAGCACCCACCACUUCCCCUCCUUCCUCGUUGCUCUUCCUCCCCCGCCAUCCCUCUCUCGCCCCACUUUCUCUCUCCUCUGCGCGACACCACCGCUUCACCACACAUCAUCACUCGCCUUCUCUGCCGCCGCCCCCCUUCCGCCCUUCGCUGCCGCGAGUUUCCGGCCACCGCAGGCCCUCCGUCGCGGUUCAAGGACCCACAUCUUUCAUCCCCUGCUUCUUUCCUUGUGCGUGAGUGUGUGUUGUGAAGGAAAAUCAGUUUUCCUUAUUCUGGAACUCGUUCCUCGGAGCUCGGUAAGGACGAUAUCAAGGACAUAAGAAGAGGAUUAUUAUUAUUAUUCUGCAAUCAAGGUAACAACUGAUGCUGGUACCCGCAAUUCCUUUGAAAUGCGUUUUUUUUUAUAAUAUGCUACUGCGAUGAUGGUUUUUUUUGAUUACGUAUCCUGAGAUUUAUAUAAUUCUAAAAGACUGAAAGAUACUGAGAUACAGAGGUAUACUGAUCACUGGAAAUGAUAUUGUUUAUGAAAUAUUGAUGGAAGUUACUGUAAUACACUGAUCAUUGUUAAAAUAAAAGAAACGUAACAUGAUAAAGUAAAGUGAAAGAACUGGUUGGUUGUACCUACUGACUAACUGAAGGUCGUGCCAUACCGUACUAUUUACUGGGGCACUGCCCCGCUACUGUUUACUGGGGCACUGGCCCACUACUGUUUACUGGUGUAGGGUAAUGCCCGGGGCCAAGGCCCUUGCGCAGUGGUGCAUACACAUACUGGGAGACGUCCCAGCACUAACUGAUGUGCAUCAACCAGAGUAAAAAUUGAUGAAAUUGAAUCAUGGAAUAUUAAAGUGAAUUGAUUGAAUAUUGUUUUCAUAAAUGUUUGAAUUAUUCUUUCUCCCUGUUUUGUAAAUAAAAUGAAUUGAAAUGAGUUUACGUUGCUAGGGUAGUUUGUUACUGAGCCUCGGCUCAUAACGUUUUGUAUUUAUGUUUUAGGUACUGCUGGACGAUGGGACUGCGUAGUGGCAAGGAUUACCACCUUAUUAAAUCAUCUAGUAAUAGUGCUACUAACUUGUAAGGUUAACUUAACUAGAAUGUAAGACCAUAUACUUUAAUAUAAGUUAUCGUUGUUAUGUCAGGUAACGUUAACGUUGUCUACUUUAAUAUAAUAUAAGAUGUCUAAGUUAUCACUA